UUUCUCCAGAAGCUGCGGCUUUUUUCGUCAAAAAGCUGAAGCUGCCUCACCCCGGCUUUUAGAAGCCAGAAGCCGCGCACUACUCUAGCGAUGGUUUAAUGAAUUUUUUGAAAUACUAUUGGGUACCCUCAUGAACUUCAAGGAAUUACAGACCAACCUCUUCUCUCUCUCUCUCUCUCUCUCUCUCAGUGCUCUUAGGACGAGUUAGGACGAGAUCGUGCAUUCAUCGGCGCCUCCACCUUCUCUCUCUCUCUCUCAGUGCUCUUAGGACGAGAUCGUGCAUUUAUCGGCGCCUCCACCUUUGCUCUCCCUGGUGGACACCUCGAGUUUGCAGUAGAAGUUAGCUGUUUCUGGCCAAGUAGAAGUUAAGAUGCUUGGAGGAAGGAGCUAAGAUGUUCAUGCAAAAACCAAUCAAACAGUCAGACAUUAAGCAAUUGAGAUGUCAUCUAUGAAACUGCAGAAGCUGAACACACAUACUUUGUUCUGGAGGAGAAAUGGAGAGAAGCUAAAGAAAUCACAUGCCUUUUUUUUUUUACCUUCAGAACUUGCUAUCUUCAUAUCUUGAUGAGUUCUUUUAAAUGCAUUUCCAUCUCACUGUUGUCCUUAGUCUGACUGAAAUCAUUUGCUACUGUGGGGAUAAUUGGAUGGAGCAAAACUGUAAAUAUAUAUUCAUUGAAAAUAAAUCUGUACCAAGUAAAGAAAUCAUAUCAUAUAUAGUACAUAGAAAUCACCUGCUAAUUUUUGUUUU